UCGAUAGAUGAAGAAAACAAAAGAAGUGGUUUGUGUGCGUGUCUGUGAGAGAGAGAGACUCCUGAUCUGAGCAGGAUAAGAGAGAGAGAGAGAGACUCCUGAUCUGAGCAGGAUUAGAUGUGGGGGUAAUGGUGGCAGGCAAGAAGCAAGAUUAACAUAUGCUCAGGCAAUUACAAGGGUGGUUCCACAAUGCUGUGUGCAUAAUGGAGUAAAUGAGCAGCCAUGAAUGGUGGAAGGUUUCUAUGAGAAGGCAGCAAUUUUAAAUGUGUCUGAUGAGGUUUGUCUAAAUUGUAAAAAGGCCCUGACAUCAACCCUGCUGGGAUCCUUUUCUCCACCAUUGCUGGAUCUGGAAGGCCUAGAUAGAUGGGCAAAGAAGGGAAAGAUCAGAGUGAGACAAUUGUUAAUCAGUGUCAUUGGCGAGAUAAGGGUAAAUUGUUGACAAAAAUACUAAAUUUGUGAAAUAUUAAGCUAGAAAGAUUUUGGAUUAGAGUGGAAGGUAUUCCGAUCCAUGUAUGGAAUUUUGAUAUUUUUAAGCAUAUCGUUGAACAAUGUGGUAAGUUUGUGGAGGUUGAUUGGGGAGCCAAUGUUGGUGUUUUUCGUAUGAAAUUGAGAAAAUUCAGGGUAAAAAUAUUCUUGAGAAUGCUAUUAUUAGAGCAAAAAAUUGUGAUUUUAUAGUUAAAAUUUUGAUCAGAAUCAGGGAAAAAUGCAUAUACUGGAGGAAUUAAUGAUGAAAGUUGGGAAAAUAAUCAUAUUGAGAUUAAUGCUAAUGAUUAGCAAGAAGUGAGGAGAAGAAAGCAGAGAAAUGGUGUUAAUAGUGAAAGGAAAUUUAAACAAAGAGCAGGCCGAUGGAGGAUGAACAAGGUAAGGUUACAGAGAAAUCUUACAUAGCAAGAGAGGAGGAAGAGUAAGGUUAAUGGAAGACGAGACGUGCAACACAAAGCGAAUCUGGAGAGAUGGAGUAAAUCAGACUGAGUGGCUCGAGAGGAAUCUAAAAGUGGAAGAGGUAAAAUGAUGGAAUGGCGUCCGAUUGGCAAAAGGCAAAAUGAAGAAAUAAUAGCAAAUGCAGUGGAAAGAAGUCCGAUUGGCAAAAGGCAAAAUGAAGAAAUAAUAGCAAAUGCAGUGGAAAGAAAUCCGAUGGACGGAGUACAAAAUGGGCCCAAAAUCAAUGAUGAUAAGAGGAAUCGUCCACUUAGUAGCUCUGGGCAAAAUAGUAAUAUGGAGUGUGAAUGUUCAAGAAGGUGGGAUGAGGCGUUCUCAAAUCUGCAUAUAGAAGGAUGUAAGGGUCGGUGGAGGACGAAGAGAAACUGGAGAAUGUGGCAAUGGCAGCGGUUGAGAUGAGGGGUAAUAAUGACAUACAGAAUAUGGAAGGGAGGAUGAAUGUAGGAGGAGACUGGUAAUUAGAGAAAGAGAGGAAAGAGAGAUAGUGAAGUGUGUAGUGUGCUUGAGACCUGAAGAAGACAUGAGAGGUUAUUGCCUCGUAAGAAAGCUACAGUGGCUUUCAAGACGAGGCCUCGUAAAUGUACGGAUGGAAGUGAUUGGCCAUUGGAUCAAGUCAUUUUCAUUGAUGCAGAGGACUUUGGCUUGGUAGUAGCAGAGAAUAAAGAGAUGGAGUGUGCUGAUACAUGGGAUUGCCAUAGUGGUCUGGUGAAGAGACUAUUGAAGAUGUUCAACCAUUGUGCAUGAUCCCAACGGCCGACAUUACUCAUCAAGAGCAAGGGAUGGAGUCGAGAGAGCAGAUACAUCAAAUGUUGGAUGCUAUGAAAGUUCAAGCCAGUGGCCCGAUUGAUGAGAUUGUGGAUGCUUUCCAAGAGAAGAAAAGACUUGCAAGGAAGAAAAUGAUAAGGAAAGGGGAAGCUGCAGAGAAUGUGAAGUUGUCAAAGAAGGAUGCAUUCAGUAGCAGGAGUGCAGCACGAACAAAGGCAAAGAGGUUGUGGUGUCCGAAGGUUCGGCCGUGUCUGUUGGCUGGUAUGCUAUAAGACGUGGUUCUUCUCUUAAAAAGUUUACAGAUAUUGUCUUGGAAUACAAGGGGUCUUGGUGAUUUUAAAAGAAAAUUAUAGCUUUUGAUGCUUGUCAAAAAAGAAAGCAUUGAUUUAGUUUUGCUUCAAGAAACAAAAAUUUCAAGCCCUUGUAUUCAACCUGUUAAGUCUGUAUGGGUUUGUAAACCCAUACAUUUUUGUUGUAUAGUAUCUGGACUGUAUGGGAUCCUCCGCUACUUAAUGUUGUUUGACCCAGAGUGGACAACUGGUAUGUCUUGUGGCUAAAUUUACUUUGUCAAAUAAUUGUGAUGUAAAUCCUAUUAUGACGAGGCUUGACCGCUUUCUGGUCAAUUCAGCAUGGGCUGAACUGUUUCCCCUUGCCUCAGUUCGUCUUUUACCCAAACUAUCAUCAGACCAUGUAACUUUGAUUUGGGAAAGUGAAAAUCGAAUAGGUGGGAGAUCUUAUUUCAAAUUUGAAAUGUCAGGGCUAAUGGAGAAGUUGGUAAAUGAAUUGGUAAGGGGUGCAUGUAAUAGAAAUGAGGUUUCCGGAUAUUGUAGCUAUGUGGUGUCGAAAAAGGUUCAAGGAGUCAAGACAGAGCUAGUAGAAUGGAGAAAGUGGAGUAGAUGCCACUAUAAGGUGAAGAUUGGCCACGGACAAAUUAGUCUGGAGUCAUUGCCUUUGAGGAUGUUAUGGAAAGGAAUGGGCUGAAUAAAUAGUUGCAUGAAUGGUUGAGGGCUGUUGAAAUUUAUUGGAGGAAGGAGAUUUGAAUACUAGACUCUUUCAUGCAACUGCAAUGCAAGGCAAAGAAUUAACAAGAUUCGUAGUUUCAAAAUUGUUGGAAUUGCAAAGGAUGUUGUAUUAGGAUGAGAAAAUGCAAUAAUCCAGCAUUUUCAGGAGGUGUUCUUCCUGGUUUGUACCUGACAUUGACUUUAGUCAGGUUUCUUUUGUAAGGUCCUGGCCGAGUGGAGUAGGUCGAGGCUUCAAUACUGUGUUGAACAUAAGACGUUCUUAUAGAUAGUUGAUGAGAUUGUUAGUGAAGAAUAUGUGUAGUGUUUGGCUAUGUUGCAGUAGUGUUCUUAAUGUCCAGAAGUUGAAGAUAAAAUAGUUUGGGAACCGAGUAAAAAAGGUGUAUUCACUGUGCGAUCAGCCUAUAAACAAUUAUUUGAUGAUCGUAAUAGGCGGAGAGAUGUAGCUGCAGCAAGAAUAUGGAAGCUGCCUAUACCUGAAGGUUAGAUCUUUUGUAUUGCUAUCAACUUAAAAAAACUUUGAACAUGUGAUAAUUUGAGGGAAAGAGGCAAAAAAUUGCCAAAUGUAUGCCUUAUGUGUAAAAGAGAUCUUUUGUAUCGCUAUUAACUUAAAAAAACUUUGACCAUGUGAUGUUUUGAGAAAAAGAGGCAAAAAAUUGCCAAAUGUAUGCCUAAUGUGUAAAAGAGAUGAAGAAAUAGUGGACCAUUUAUUCCUCGUAUGUUGUUUUGUGAGAAAAAUAUGGAAAUGGUGUUUAGAUUGGUUGGGUAUACAAAUUGUUAUUCCUAUGCAAGCCGAGGCGAUAUUUUUUCAAUGGAAAAUAGGAGUUGAUAAAAAAAGAAGAAUUAUAUGGAAGAUAGCAAAAGCAACAAUUCUUUAGGAGUUAUAGAAGGAGAGGAAUAGAAGAUGUUUUGAAAAUAUUGUACAGACGAGUGAUGAAUUGUGCGAGAAGAUAGGAGUUGCUGCAGCUGAAUGGCUAUCGAUUAAAAAGGAGUGGUGGGGUGUCUCUUGGAUGGACUUGAUGCAUAAUUUGAAUGUUUUAAUAUGAAGAAUAAAGGUUGGUGUUUGGGAAGCACUUGUAGUAAGGGUGGAUUAAGUUAAAUUUUGAUGGGAGCUCAUUUGGGAAUCAUGGCUAGCUGGGAUAAGAGGGUAAGGGUAAUAAUAAUAUAGUAGUGAAGAAAUACUAUGGACCAGUUGGGGUGAUAAUGGCAAAUGAAGCUCAACUUAGGUAUGCUUUACAAGCUUUAAAGUUGGCUAAAGAAAUUAAUAUACAGGUGGGUGGUGGUGGAAGGAGAUUAGAUGAAUAAAGAAAAGAGAGUUACCAUGGUUGUUUAGUGAAUUGAUGAGGGAACUGUUAGAUUGGUGUAUAGAUAUGAAAUGUUCUUUUAUUCAUGUAGGGUCUGUUUGACAAAACAAAA